rnacentral:rRNA from 1 species
GAUGAGCGCUGGCGGCGUGCCUAAUACAUGCAAGUAGAACGCUGAAGGAAGGAGCUUGCUCUUUCCGGAUGAGUUGCGAACGGGUGAGUAACGCGUAGGUAACCUGCCUGGUAGCGGGGGAUAACUAUUGGAAACGAUAGCUAAUACCGCAUAACAGUAGAUAUUGCAUGAUAUCUGCUUGAAAGGGGCAAUUGCUCCACUACCAGAUGGACCUGCGUUGUAUUAGCUAGUUGGUGAGGUAACGGCUCACCAAGGCGACGAUACAUAGCCGACCUGAGAGGGUGAUCGGCCACACUGGGACUGAGACACGGCCCAGACUCCCACGGGAGGCAGCAGUAGGGAAUCUUCGGCAAUGGACGGAAGUCUGACCGAGCAACGCCGCGUGAGUGAAGAAGGUUUUCGGAUCGUAAAGCUCUGUUGUAAGAGAAGAACGAGUGUGAGAGUGGAAAGUUCACACUGUGACGGUAUCUUACCAGAAAGGGACGGCUAACUACGUG